ACCCUUUGGCCUGGAAUAACACGAGGAAACUUGUGCUAAUACCGGAUAAGUCUUUACGGAGAAAGCUUUAUGCACCAUUGGAUGAGCCCGCACUUGAUUAGUUUGUUGGUGGGGUAAUGGCCUACCAAGACUAUGAUCAAUAGCUGAUUUGAGAGGAUGAUCAGCCACAUUGGGACUGAGACACGGCCCAAACUCCUACGGGAGGCAGCAGUAGGGAAUCUUGCACAAUGGAGGAAACUCUGAUGCAGCGAUGCCGCGUGAGUGAAGAAGGCCUUUGGGUUGUAAAGCUCUUUCGUCGGGGAAGAAAAUGACUGUACCCGAAUAAGAAGGUCCGGCUAACUUCGUGCCAGCAGCCGCGGUAAUACGAAGGGACCUAGCGUAGUUCGGAAUUACUGGGCUUAAAGAGUUCGUAGGUGGUUGAAAAAGUUGGUGGUGAAAUCCCAGAGCUUAACUCUGGAACUGCCAUCAAAACUUUUUAGCUAGAGUAUGAUAGAGGAAAGUGGAAUUUCUAGUGUAGAGGUGAAAUUCGUAGAUAUUAGAAAGAAUACCAAUUGCGAAGGCAGCUUUCUGGAUCAUUACUGACACUGAGGAACGAAAGCAUGGGUAGCGAAGAGGAUUAGAUACCCUCGUAGUCCAUGCCGUAAACGAUGUGUGUUAGACGUUGGAAAUUUAUUUUCAGUGUCGCAGGGAAACCGAUAAACACACCGCCUGGGGAGUACGACCGCAAGGUUAAAACUCAAAUGAAUUGACGGGGACCCGCACAAGUAGUGGAGCAUGUGGUUUAAUUCGAAGAUACGCGCAGAACCUUACCAACACUUGACAUGUUCGUCGCGACUCUAAGAGAUUAGAGUUUUCGGUUCGGCCGGACGAAACACAGGUGCUGCAUGGCUGUCGUCAGCUCGUGUCGUGAGAUGUUGGGUUAAGUCCCGCAACGAGCGCAACCCUCACUUUUAGUUGCCAUCAUUAAGUUGGGCACUCUGAAAGAACUGCCAGUGAUAAGCUGGAGGAAGGUGGGGAUGACGUCAAGUCCUCAUGGCCCUUACGUGUUGGGCUACACACGUGCUACAAUGACACUUACAGUGGGAAGCUAAGACGCGAGUCCAAGCUAAUCCCUAAAAUAUGUCUCAGUUCGGAUUGCACUCUGCAACUCGAGUGCAUGAAGCUGGAAUUACUAGUAAUCGCGGAUCAGCGCGCCGCGGUGAAUACGUUCCCGGGUCUUGUACACACCGCCCGUCACACCAUGGAAGUUGGUUACACCUUAAGGCAAAGCAUAAAACCUUUGACUACGGUACGAUCAGCGACUGGGGUGAAGUCGUAACAAGGUAGCCGUAGGGGAACCUGCGGCUG
rnacentral:rRNA from 1 species